rnacentral:rRNA from 1 species
CCUACGGGUGGCUGCAGUGGGGAAUAUUGCGCAAUGGGCGAAAGCCUGACGCAGCAACGCCGCGUGAGCGAUGAAGGCCUUCGGGUUGUAAAGCUCUUUCGGUUGGGAAGAAGGGUGCGCGUGCUAAUACCACGUGCAUUUGAUGGUACCAAAAGAAGAAGCACCGGCUAACUUCGUGCCAGCAGCCGCGGUAAUACGAAGGGUGCGAGCGUUGUUCGGAAUUACUGGGCGUAAAGGGUUCGUAGGCGGGAACUUAAGUCAAGUGUGAAAUCCCC